rnacentral:tRNA from 1 species
GGGCCGAUGGCAGAGAGAUUAAUGCAAUAGGCUGCAACCCUAUUACAGGUCGGUUCAAUUCCGACUCGGCCCUCCA